UAACUACUCCCUCCGUUCCGAAUUACUUGUCGUAGGUGUGGAUGUAUCUAGAUAUAUUUUAGUUCUAGAUACGUCCAUUUCUGUGACGAGUAAUUUGGAACGGAGGGAGUACUGG
rfam:Triticum aestivum genome assembly, contig: Triticum_aestivum_CS42_TGACv1_scaffold_474788_6AL